CACUCUAGCAUAAAAAGUAUUAGAGGCACCGCCUGCCCAGUGACAUAAGUUAAACGGCCGCGGUAUCCUGACCGUGCAAAGGUAGCAUAAUCAUUUGUUCCUUAAAUAGGGACUUGUAUGAAUGGCUUGACGAGGGUUUAACUGUCUCUUAUUCUUGAUCAGUGAAAUUGACCUUCCCGUGAAGAGGCGGGAAUAAACAAAUAAGACGAGAAGACCCUAUGGAGCUUAAAUUUUAUAGUCUAGCAUUCACUAAACUCUCUCUACGGAUUUAAGACUUAUGCCUACAGACUACAAAUUUUGGUUGGGGUGACCUCGGAGAAUAAACUAACCUCCGAAUGAUAUUAAUCUAGACCAUAACCCGUCUAAAUCUAAGUUCAUAAAUUGACCCAAAAAACAUUUGAUCAACGGAACAAGUUACCCUAGGGAUAACAGCGCAAUCCUACUCAAGAGUUCAUAUCGACAGUUAGGGUUUACGACCUCGAUGUUGGAUCAGGACAUCCAAAUGGUGUAACCGCUAUUAAUGGUUCGUUUGUUCAACGAUUAAAGUC
rnacentral:rRNA from 1 species